rnacentral:rRNA from 1 species
AUUGAACGCUGGCGGCAGGCCUAACACAUGCAAGUCGAACGAGUGGCGGACGGGUGAGUAAUGUCUGGGAAACUGCCUGAUGGAGGGGGAUAACUACUGGAAACGGUAGCUAAUACCGCAUACCAUCAGAUGUGCCCAGAUGGGAUUAGCUUGUUGGUGGUGGAACGGCGCACCAAGGCGACGAUCCCUAGAUGGGCUGAGAGGAUGACCGGCCAACUUGGAAAUGAGCCACGGUCCAGACUCCGACGAGAGGUAGCAGUGGGGAAUAUUGCACAAUGGGCGCAAGCCUGAUGCAGCCAUGCCGCGUGUAUGAAGAAGGCAUUCGGGUUGUAAAGUACUUUCAGCGGGGAGGCGUUACCCGCAGAAGAAGCACCGGCUAACUCCGUGCCAGCCGCCGCGGUAAUUC